AUGCUCGACUUCCGACAAUUCUGAGAGGAUUUCUCGAUCCUCGGUAGCGUGGUGCGCGGACUCCUGGGCUUUGAUAUCUCUUUCAGAGGGGUCUUUUGCACUCCCUCGUAUCGGGUUUGGCGUAUCAGAGUUGAGUUGUUGUUCGGGUCUGUAUUCAUUCGCUCCAUCAACCGGGUCGUACGCGCUAUCAUCUGACCAAGUCCACUCUUCCGCGUGAACGGAAACAGUGCUCCUUCUGUGUACGGCAGUGGGCGGACACACUGACCUUUUCUCAGGGCUGUCCACGCCUGAGGUAUUGAUGCCUGCAAGGCGUUCUUGGCCGUUUUGAUUAAAGUCCGCGCCUCCGGGCUGAGAAGCGAGCCGAUCUCGCGGGCUUUGUGUGAGGCAGUCAGCAGCCGGCCCAAAACUCGAUGCACGCCUGGGCUGGGUGGAGCGAACCGCGUCCGACGGUUCGUUAGGUUCAACGAGCUGCCACUGACUGUCGGGCGCUAGGGCCUCAUCCUUAAGUGCGAAAUCCGCACUUUUCAGAUCGUGCACUGACUGACGCUGCGCUACCUCUUCUACAAAUUCCCUUAUUUUCGACAAAAGCUCUGUCCUCAAAGGCUGUGGAAGCUUACCUACGGUUUCAGCUUCGCUCACGUCGCGCUCUAACGCCUCCCACAGCAACCUUUCGUGGUCGCCUGAGGUUCCUGUGCGGUCUGUUCCACCAAGUUGCACCAGUCGUGGGUCCGUCUCGCCCGAGUGCGACGCCCGCACCGACCAGGAGCCACGGCCUCUACGCCACGACAGCUUCCGGGUCCGCUCGCAGCGAAGAGGCCUCCCUUUAGGAGACGCCGUCCAACUCCAUAGCUUGCCGUUGAGCGGAAACGCGCCACUUUGCAAGAAAGCAACCAUGCGCCCGUCAACAAAGCCACACAACUUUCACAAACGCUCAGUGAAACGAAAACUUUCUCUCGGCCGUGUUGGAUAAAUUCAUACCAACGCGCAGGCGCCUUACGGCCUAUUUUGACUGGCCCGCUGCUAUCGUCUUCAGCUACUUGUACACUUCGACCCUGAUAGGCUGCACGACAAAGUUGGAUCGCGUCAGCUCCUGGGGUCUCUUCUCCAGCACCGCACAUUUCCUGAUAUUGGUGGCGGCGUUGAAGUCUCGAUUCACCGACUCUUUCCAGCAUUGCCGCUGGCUGUACUCAAAUAUGCAAGGAUUCCCCGAACUCGUGCCCUCCGUUCCAUUUGCUCUUCUGUCCGCUCUCCGGACUUUUCUGUCUCCGAAACGCUCGGCUGGCUUCUGUCCGUAUCGACCUUCUGAAGUGUACACUCCAGCCCAUCGAGCACGUACGCUAUUCGGAACUCAUGUAUCGAUAUUGUGACAAAACGCAGUGCGCACUCCAUGUCCGCUCGUGCCGAUAGAGCUCGUAUGCUCCCUUUUUUGGACGCCCAGUUCCCUGCUCCGUGUGCCAAUAAAAGCCUUUGACUCUUGUCCUCCUUGAGGGCGGUCAACAGAUUAAGGAAGUCGGCGAGUGCGUGCUGCUUCAGUCUGUACAGGUUCAUACGCUGACGAGCCCAACGCGGCUUUGUGUACUCUUUCCGCAGCUCCUCGUAAUGAGCAGCUUGGGUUUCCAUGAAUUCCGGAAAAACUCGAAAGUACACUCCGCGGAGCGUUACAUUGCUGAUCGCUUCCAGAUGCUCCUUUACUCCUGAGUUCCAUAUCUCAAUUAGUUUCCUCGCAUUAAAUACCCCAGAAUCUCUGUAAUAUUUCGCUCUCGAUAGCUUUAAAAGA